GACGAACGCUAGCGGCAGGCCUAACACAUGCAAGUCGAACGAGUGGCGGACGGGUGAGUAAUGUCUGGGAAAAUGCCCGAUGGAGGGGGAUAACUACUGGAAACGGUAGCUAAUACCGCAUACCAUCGGAUGUGCCCAGAUGGUAUUAGCUAGUAGGUGGGGUAACGGCUCACCUAGGCGACGCACCCUAGCUGGUCUGAGAGGAUGACCAGCAACACUGGAACUGAGACCCGGUCCAGACGCCUACGGGGGGCAGCAGUGGGGAAUAUUGUACAAUGGGCGCAAGCCUGAUGAAGCCAUGCCGCGUGUAUGAAGAGGGCCGUCGGGUUGUAAAGUACUUUAAGCGAGGAGGCGUUACUCGCAGAAGAAGCACCGGCUAACUCCGUGCCAGCAGCCGCGGUAAUAC
rnacentral:rRNA from 1 species